GAUGAACGCUAGCGGCAGGCUUAACACAUGCAAGUCGAGGGGUAGAACACUUCGGUGUUUGAGACCGGCGCACGGGUGCGUAACGCGUAUGCAAUCUGCCUUGUACAAAGGGAUAGCCCAGAGAAAUUUGGAUUAAUACCUUAUAGUAUAUAGAUGUGGCAUCACAAUUAUAUUAAAGAUUUAUCGGUACAAGAUGAGCAUGCGUCCCAUUAGCUAGUUGGUAUGGUAACGGCAUACCAAGGCAAUGAUGGGUAGGGGUCCUGAGAGGGAGAUCCCCCACACUGGUACUGAGACACGGACCAGACUCCUACGGGAGGCAGCAGUGAGGAAUAUUGGUCAAUGGGCGCAAGCCUGAACCAGCCAUGCCGCGUGCAGGAUGAAGCAUCUAUGGUGUGUAAACUGCUUUUGUACGGGAAGAAACAACUCUUCGUGAAGAGUCUUGACGGUACCGUAAGAAUAAGGAUCGGCUAACUCCGUGCCAGCAGCCGCAGUAAUAC
rnacentral:rRNA from 1 species